UGAUCGGCCGUAACGACCGUAUGGAGAUUUAGAACGCGAAUGGGACCUGUACCGCCUGUGGUAGGGAGAGUAGGAUCGCCGACUGUAGUACGGAGAAUAAGACCGGUCCCUCUCAGAGGAGUAGCUGCGAGACCUGUAUCGACCCCUGUGGUAUGGCGAGUAGCUUGGAGACCGGCGUCGCACUGAAAAAGCAACACAACCUAAGUACAAUAGAAAAACAACGAGAAAGGACAUGCACUCUCACAGGAGCAGCAUCUGACAUUUGUUUUUCAGUUAUUAAAAAAUAAAAAAAAAAUUGCAUCAAUAAAACGUUGAUUCAACAAUUGGAGUGUCGUGGCCUCCACAACGCUGAUGCUGAUUUCGAACGUGACUUACAAAGAAGGUGACUUGCAAAAUAAUUUACAUGGUACAGAAGAAAAAAA